rnacentral:rRNA from 1 species
GAUGAACGCUGGCGGCGUGCCUAAUACAUGCAAGUCGAGCGAACAGACGCGGCGCUUGCUCCUCUGACGUUAGCCGAGCACGUGUGAGUAACGCGUGUAUAACCUACCUAUCAUACUGGGAUCACUUCGGAACACCGGCGCUAAUCCCGGAUAAUAUAUUGAACCGCAUGGGGCGAUAGUGAGAGACGGUUUUGCUGUCACUUAUAGAUGCAUCCGGGCCGCAUGAGCUAGUUGGUGCGGUAAAGGCCUACCAAGGCGACGAUGCGUAGCCGAACGGAGGGGCGGGUAGGCCACAUUGGAAGGUAGACGGGCUCCAUACUCCUAAGGGAGGCAGCAGUAGGGUACGUGACGCAAUGGGCGAAAGUAUGACGGAGUAACGCCGAGUGAGAGACGAAGGCCCCGGGAUCGUAAAACUCUGUUACGAGGGAAGAACAAAUGUGGAAGGAAAUAUGCACUGCUUGACGGUAACGAAUAAGAAAGCACCGGCUAACUACGUG